AUGUUAUAUUUAGAGAUAAAAAUAUUUGUAAACUUUUUGUUGCAUCCUAGGUGCUUCUACUGCAGGUCUUCAAGCGUCCUCAUCUCUGUUUUAACCUCUGUACCCUCCCUGUCCCUUGAUCAGAAGCAAAAUGUGAUUCUUUUUUCACCUUUCAUUGAAUUUUGUUGGAUCUGCUGCCAUUCUGAGGUAUUAUUUCUCGAGUUUGCUUCCAUUUAUAUGUAA